rnacentral:lncRNA from 1 species
ACUCUCUUAAGUAGCUGAAUGCCUUGUCAUCUAAUUAGUGAUGUGCAUGAAUUAAUGAAGUGGAGAUUCUCACUGUCCCUAUCUACUAUCCGGUGAAACCACAGCCAAGGGAAGAGUCUUGGUGGAAUUGGCGGGGAAAGAAGACCUUGUUGAGCUUGACUCUAGUCUGGCAUGGUGAAGAGACACGAGAGGUGUAGAAUAAGUGGGAGGCCCCCGGCGACCCCCCU